GGAGGAGUGCCAGAGCGGUUGAAUGGGCCUGUCUUGAAAACAGGUAGGCUCGUAAGGGCCUCGUGGGUUCGAAUCCUACCUCCUCCG
rnacentral:tRNA from 1 species